UAUAUAUAUAUAUAUAUAUAUAUAUGUGUGUGUGCGCAAUAUAUGUAUAUGUAUAUUUUUACUAAUUAUAUGUUCUGUAUGUGUGUACGUGCGUACAUACAUUCUAUUAAACGAUAUAAUCAUUUUAUAAUUCUUGUAUAGAUGUAUACGUACAUGCGUGCGCAUAGACAUACACAUUGCUAUAUAUGUUAUUUAUGUUAUAUAUAUUUGCAAUUGUAUAUUUGUAGAUAUUAUAUUAUAUAUAUUUGCAAUUUCUUUUUUAAAUAUCUCUUUCGAAGCUCUUUAAAGCGCACUUAAGAAUAUUUUAAGAUAUGCAAUGAUCUCGAAAGAUUAUCAAAAAGAUGUUCAUUGGAAGUGUAUACCAAGAAAAUAAAUAAAAUAAGCAUAAACGUGAUUUUGUAACAAGUCACUACAUAAGAUAAGGCCACUCAACGACAAGUUAUCAUGUAUUUUCUUCUUUUUUACAAUUUACAAGUAUAUAAUUGUUUAUAAAAAUAUCAUAAUUAUAUUAAUGGAGAAAAGUAGAGACAAAUUUUUAAAUAUUUUUUAUUAUCUCUUCAUUUUUUUUCUUCUAACUAUUAAAAUUAAAUAGCUUGUGUGUAUAUUUUUAAUUUAUUAAAUGGCUCAUCGGAUCUGCUAAUAAUAAUUUUUUGUUUAAAUUAUUUUUCGAUUUGUGGUAAUGAAUAUAUUAAUUAGUAUAUGACUAAUAAGUGGAAUAAUUAACGUACAUAAAAACUUCCGAAAGACCUUAUUAUAGGUUUGUUAUAUAAAAGAGUUCGACUAUGACCAUUUUUUGAUUUUGUUAUUUUGUUGUUUUCCUUGCUGCGAAAUUUAUUCCAUUUUGGUUUGAUACAGAUUGAAAUAAUGUUUAUUUAAUAUUUGAUACGUUUAAUUUCUUGGAACAAAAUUUUUAAUAUAAGUGACGACGGAAGAAGUCGCUGUUUCUUAACAAUCGCUGAGUAAUUCAGAUUUUUCGUUUAUAUAAGUUUAGCUAUGUAAUCAAUAACAUAAAUAAAAUUAAUAAAUAGUAAAUAAAAUUAUUUUUUGAAAAUAAUGUAAAUAUCUUGAAACUUGAGAGACAUUUUUAAUUACAGGUCGAUAAAAUUAUAAAAACGUUUAAAUACGAAACAAUGUUUAAUGAUAAAGUUUACUCUGAUUAAAAUAAAACUUGAAUUGUAAGACAAUGAUAUAAUUUCACUAUAGUCAGUGGAUAUCGGAUAAUAUCGGAAAUGUAAUACAAUAUGUAUACCGAGGAUCGUCGUGUCUGAGCGUUCAUUCUUCGUCGGCUAAGCUAUUUGGAUCGUCGGUACUUGGUUUCGUUGCUACUUGGAAUGGGUUUCUAACUAUAGUAUUUCUCCUCUUUUACGGAAUAUAUACAGAAAUUCUAGUUGCUUGGUGGUGUUAUAUUUUGUUUGGAUGGAUUUUGAUCUCAAUAUUUGUAAUUGUCGGGAGUUAGAAAGACUGCAUUUGUCGGUCAAUUCCUAUUAAACUAUUAUGAACGAAUCUAACUUCAUUCUAACAGCAAUUAUUUUUUCACGCGUCUUCCUCAUGGAAUUCUUUCGAGUGGUCUCUAUUAGCCCUUGUGGUUCGAGGAUUUUUAGUUACGAGAGAAAUGAAUAUUGUAUGUUCUACUUGGAAAUCCUUCUCAAAAGGAGGAAUUUUCUUAGUUAGGUAAAUAUAUAAGAAAUAAUCAUUAAUUUAUUGAUAAUAUUUAUAAUAUAAUUAUUUUAAUAUUUAUUAUCAUAAUAUUAUAAUAUUGAUUGUAAUAUUAUUAAAUUAUUGUAAUUAAGUUGUAUAUUAUAAUUAAUGAAUUAUAAUUACAUUAUUAUAAUA